CCUACGGGUGGCAGCAGUGAGGAAUAUUGGUCAAUGGCCGUAAGGCUGAACCAGCCAAGUCGCGUGAAGGAAGAAGGAUCUAUGGUUUGUAAACUUCUUUUAUAGGGGAAUAAAGUAUCCACGUGUGGAUAUUUGCAUGUACCCUAUGAAUAAGCAUCGGCUAACUCCGUGCCAGCAGCCGCGGUAAUACGGAGGAUGCGAGCGUUAUCCGGAUUUAUUGGGUUUAAAGGGUGCGUAGGUUGUUUUUUAAGUCAGCGGUAAAAUCGAGGGGCUCAACCCCUUUAAGCCGUUGAAACUGGUGAUCUUGAGUGGGCGAGAAGUAUGCGGAAUGCGUGGUGUAGCGGUGAAAUGCAUAGAUAUCACGCAGAACUCCGAUUGCGAAGGCAGCAUACCGGCGCCCGACUGACGCUGAGGCACGAAAGCGUGGGGAUCGAACAGGAUUAGAUACCCGAGUAGUC
rnacentral:rRNA from 1 species